AUACAGAGGGUGCGAGCGUUAAUCGGAAUUACUGGGCGUAAAGCGCGCGUAGGCGGUUUGUUAAGUUGGAUGGGAAAGCCCCGGGCUUAACCUGGGAGGGUCAUUCAAAACUGGCAGACUAGAGUGUGGUAGAGGGUAGUGGAAUUCCUAGUGUAGCGGUGAAAUGCGUAGAGAUUAGGCGGAACGCCAGUGGCGAAGGCGACUGCCUGGACCAACACUGACGCUGAGGUGCGAAAGCGUGGGUAGCGAACAGGAUUAGAAACCCCAGUAGUCC
rnacentral:rRNA from 1 species